rnacentral:lncRNA from 1 species
GACUUUCUAUUUUUAUUGUAUUUCUUUUUUAUUUUUUUGAAAAUAAAUAACGAAUAAAAUGGAUGCCUUUUGAAUCUGGUUCUUUUUUGUAUUUUGUUUUUGAUUGCUCUUUUUUUUCUAAUACAUCCAUUGUUAUGGCUUUUAUAGCCAUAUAUUACACAAUAUUGAUUUUUUUGUUUUCCUUUUUUUUUGUUUCUACUGUUGUUUCUAUCCUUGUUUCUUUCUCUUUGUAGGCGGCGGUGCGCCGUCAACGAUGGGGAGAGAUCCAUGCCUUUGUCAUUUUCGUGCAAGGGUGGCAGAAGAGCAAACCUCGGGGAGUAGGUUUCUUCGAGAGGGGUGCCUGUUGACGUGGAAAUGAGCGGCGUGAGAGGGGGACUUAGGGUUUUAAGGUUUCUGAAAACUUUAGGUUAGUUGGGCUUGAGCUUGUGUAACACUGGGUUUGGGUUUUGUAUUUGGGCCAUUAUUUUGAAAUGGACUUGGAUUUUUUAUUUUUUGGUUUUCUAUUUUGUUUAUUUAUUUCUUAGUUUUGGGUCAGACGAAUUUGGGCUGUUGCAAUUUCCCCUAUUUACUCGUCGUGUAAUGGGAAUGGAGUAAAGAAUUUAAGAAUGACCAAUUUCGUAUGGUCUUGUUGAAUCUCGACUUCUUUGACGCUUCUAUUUCUCAAGUAGCCUCAUUCUAACGCACUGUAACUUCAAG